rnacentral:sRNA from 2 species
AUGCAGGGAAGAGGGAAGAACAGGACCACGAACUGCUGAUGCACAACCGCAGAAUGCCGUGCAAGAGCAUGCGGAUCAGCUGUGGUGGCUGAGCAACCAGGCAGAUGGCCAGACUCACAGUUCACUAGCUGUUGAACUCCCCCGAACUUGUUGAGAGGAGGUUUGCUAACACCAUUAUUGUUUGGUGUCACCGACUAGCUUGGCUGCUCGGACAAAACGAACAAGCUAUGAACUAUGAGCUUGAAGCGAUCCGAGGUCCGAUCAAGCCGCUCAAGCUUGAAAGCAAGCGAUUGAGGGACCGAAAAUCGGCGUAGGCAAAGCGCACAAUAAUGGGACUCGAGUUUCCCAAAGGGGGAAUUCUAUGCAAAAGAAACUAGAAACAUGCAUGGCAGACCUGGAAAUUUCCAAGCUAUCCCAGCCGAUCCUUCUCUAGGUUAAACUCACGGGUGCUAACGCUCAUACGGAACACAGAGGCAACCCUUUUCUGGAAACGCCCCGUCGGUCGGGAUAUAAAACUUCGUGGUAGCACGAUGCCGGUCGUGGAACGAUCCAGCUCCUCUGCAGGUGUCAAUUCGGAGCUUAAAAUCGGAGUGUGGUCGUGUGUGGCGCAAUGGACCCAAGAUAAAUGUCCGAAUGCAGUUUGAGACGGUUGCUUGAGGCACAGUUUAUAUCCAUCAUCAUAUAUCAUACAUAAAGCGUGCAGGACAAUUAGAUGGUAUAGAACGCCUAAAGGACACAACGAUAGAAUCUGAACCUGGAACAAGUUGGAUCAAAGCAUAGAAACCCAAAAAUCACACUACAAUAACAUCGCUCUUUCAAGUCGUCUAACCAACAAUCAAAAGCCUACAAACAUGCAGAAUCAAAGCAUCAAAACCAUCUAACAGAACUCAAUUCAUUGUUUCCGUCUUCAGAAACGGCUGGUCCCUCCCUUCAGACCCAGAUCCCUCCUCAAUAUGCGAGGAAAACCUCCCCACAACUACAUCCGCGCUCUUCCUCGCGUCCUCAUCCUCCAAUAUAAUAGGCGGGCCCGUAAAUGCCUUGCGCGCCCGCACAAAAUACCAAACGACACUGAUCGUCCCAAACCCAGCAAACACCACGCUCGCAUAAUUCAUCGUCGACGGCGUCACAGGUAAGGAGAUUGGCAUGCAAAACAGCGCAAUGGCCAGCGUAAUCCACGAUACCGCUAUCAUAUUGAUAGUGUAGCCGAACUUCCCCAACGAAAAGGGUGCGUUUCUCACAUUCCGCCGCCCGCGGACGACGGAGACGAGAAUCGGCACGCCAUAUGAGGCCGAGAGACAAAUGGUUGCGACACCCGUGAAAGAGUUAAACGCCGCGCUGGAGCCAAAAUAUAUCAGGCCCAGCAGGCAAUCGACAAGGGUAGACAAUAUCAGACCCCAGAGCGGCACGUCGAAACGCCUACUAACUCUGCGCCACAGUCUGGAGCCAGGUAUGGCGCCAUCGCGCGCAAAUGCGUACGUGCAGCGGCUCGCGGCAGUUAGGGCGCCAAUUCCGGCAAAGAGUUGGAUGCCCAGGAUGAGAAAGAGCAGGCCAAAGCCACCGGCAGCGGAGCCGGUCACAGUCUUGAAGAGGAGGCCGAUUGGUUGGCCGUUGGCGACUGCUCGCAGCAGCUCGACGGGCGGGAGCACAAAGAGGACUGGGAGUAUGUAUGAUAGGCCGGUGAUACCAGCUGCUACAACAGAUAGCACAAUGGCUUUAGGCACUUCGCGGUGCGGGUUUUGGGUCUCUUCGCACAUUGCGGCUACCAUCCCAUAGCCAGUCAGGGUGUAUGCAGCUUGGAGUAAGCCGACGAAGAAAGCCCAGCCGCUCGGCCUAUUGGUGGGGAUUAGUGACUGAGAAGGAACGUUUUAAUCUUGCUAUAUAGGAGAGUUCAAGAUGAGGUGGGGAGAGGGGAUGCGUCGGAACGCUCAAGCGCUUACCAGCCGCUCGUCGAAGCGUCAAAGUGUCCAAACACGAAACUGGCAUGGUUCCUUUGUUUCGCCAGGGACAAUAAAGUAACCAUAAUGAUCACAACACUUGCUGCGGUCCAGUAUAUACAGACUUUGUUGAUAAUGUCAAGAUACUUCGCCCCAAAUACAUUUACCAAAGCACAAACCAUCAUCACAGCCCAGAACAUCAAGAUCGUCUGCCAUUGAUUGGGAACAAAAUCCUCUCUCCACAGCGAAAUUGCGCUGAGAAUCAACUGGCCUCCUGAAAAAUUGAUGCUGAGCGUGACAGUCCAGUUGCCCACUAGGGUCAGCCAACCAUCGAUAAAUGACAUCAACGGCGCCCAUUCUUUUGUAGACAACAUUGCGCUCCAAUAGUAUACUCCGCCGGCUGUAGGAUAAACUGAGCAAAUUUCGGCCAGAGACGCCGCGAUUGCGAUGGAGAUGAGCGUGACCAGCACCCAGCCCCAGAGGAUUGUGACGCUGAGUCCAUCUGUCAGGGUGACAUAGAGUGUUGUACUUAGACCGAAAGGAGCGGC